rnacentral:lncRNA from 10 species
GGACUUAAAACCAGGUUCAAAUCCUGUCUUUGCCACUAACCAAAUAUGUGCCCUAGAGCAAAUAAUUUAAUUUCUCUGGGCCUGUUUUUUCAUUUUUAAAGUGGGGGUAAUCAUUACCUACUUCAAGGAUUGGUAAAGAUGAGGCUCCAUGCUAAUUGCUGCAGCUACAACAGUGAGAAAGACAGAAACGAUCUCAUCCUGAAUGAUAUUCAAGUAGAGAAUAGCAUAGAAAGCCUACUAAUACAAUAAUUACAAACAGCGAUGUGUUAUGAUGGAAACAAACAAGGGCUGAAAUCGAGAACACAGAGAACAAGGGAAGGAAGAAGACCAAGAAAGCCUUCUCCAAAGAAGUGGCAUUUAAGCUAAUAGCCAAAGGAAGACAAGGACCUGGCCAUGCAAAAAGAGGAAGGGUGUUCACGGCAGAGAAAACAGCAAGUAAAAAAGCUCUGAGAAAGCUUUCUCACAGUAGACUCUGUGGGCCCUACAGUGGCAGAAGAUGAAUCAUCCAAAAACAAGUGUCUCUUCCCUCAGAGACAGAGGGGCUUAAUAUCAAGCCCUUCCAGAGAAGAAAGAAAUGAGACAUUUACAUUCUCACUUAGGGAAAAAAAAAGCUUCACCCUCAUGUCCUGCCAUAGCAUUUUCACAGUCCAAAAUGGAGGAGGGCAGGAGCUGAAGAAGGAGCAGCAGCCCAGAGAUGUGAAGAUGUGACAGUGAAACCGAGAAGAAGGGCCAUAUUGGGGAAGUAGUUUGGAGAUACAAUGAAAAGAACUUGCUGAUGCAUUUGGUGCAGCAGGUGAAGGAGCAGUGAGGGGAAUUCUGAUGCCAUUUCCUGUCAGAGAAAACUGAAAGAAACAAAACUUUUAAGAAAAAUCUAAAGUGUUAUCCUGGACAUGCUAAAGUUUCAAGACACCAAGUGGAGAUGUCAAGGAAGAAGUGGAAUUGAGUUCCGAGCUCAGAGGAGAGGUCUGGACUGUGGAUAUGUACUUUGGAGUCAUAAACAUAAAGAUGUUAAAAGCCAUGGGAAUAAAUGAGUCACCUAAGAAAAGAGGGUGGGGUGGGGGAAAGGAACCCAGGUCAGACACCUGAGGAGCCUCCAUGGAGGGAGGCUGAAUAAAGAAGAAGAGAGCCAGCAAAGAAAAGAGUAAGAAAGGAGGGAUGUUGCCAGAAGAUGGCUACGAGGUGCCCAUGGACCUUCUCUCAAAUAUCACAGCAUUCUUCCACCAUUCCCCGAAUUUGCAGAAUUUUAUUUCCGCAUUUUUCUCCAGUGCUACUGCAGAAGAGGUCAUGUUUUGCUUUAUGGGAAAGAAAGUAUUUGGUUUAUUUCAUUUGUAUAUUUCCAUUUACUUUUCACUGAAUAGUUGUUAAGAAUUAAAACUAAUCAAACUAUGUAUAUAAUAACCUAUCUAAACCACAAGGGGGUAGAAAUUCUAACUUUUAGGGAAACCACUUUCCAAGGCUAAAUUAAUUCACUGAAUCUGUAAUUUUUAAAAAUCAGAAACAUUAUUUUUCAGAUGACAUAUAAGAUAAAGCAUAAAUUGUGUUCAGUACCCUACCUCAUACAUGAAGGGAUGCUGGCUAAAAGAAAAUCUAGACAAGGAGAAUUAAAGUAGCAUUUUUAUAAGCUUAGCUUUUGCAUAAUCAAAACCAUAGCACUUGCUGUCUUUGAGAGAGGCCAGUCUUCUUAUCGUGCAUAGCAAUUCCAUUCCACGAAAAGCAGAAAUGUUCUUUGAAAACCAUUGUUUCAGAAGAUCCUCGUCUGCAAAACUAUAAGAGGAUAAAAUACCUUACAAGGGUAAGUAAAUAGCUAAUAUUUAUUUGUAUCGUUGGUAAGCAUCAAACACUGCAUAUAAACCGAGGCAAAACCAUCAUAUGGAUUAAUCCAUAGUGUGUCAAUCAAGAAGUCUAUUUCACUAAGGUAACCAAUUAUUCCAGCAUACCAAGUUAUAUUUAGAAAAUUGGCUACUUUGUAAAAUUAAGAGCUAUCCUACUGUCAUAGGCAGCGUUUUGUCAUACUACCUUAUAGUCCAUGUUAGCACUUAUCUGAUUGUAUUAGAAAUCUCUUCAUGUCUCUGCUUACCUUGACAGAUCAUAAGUUCUUGAAGUCAUGUCUAUCUUCUCACUGUAGUGCUACGUCAGGGCCUUCAGAGACCUCAAAGUAAAGGUCUAGGAUUCACCUCCAUUAGGAUCACCUGGAGGACAUGUCAAAAUGCAGAUUGCUGGGCCCCCCUUAACAUAUGGAAUUAGCAUAGUAUUUGCAAGGAUUUCCAACAGCUCUAAUAGGCCUUUCAAACUGUAUCAAUGAAGAUAAUAAAUCCCAAAGGCAUACUGCCUAACAACUAUAGGUUGACAUUUCUUCUACUUAUCGACUUACACUAUUGUUCGGAAACUACUCCCACAAUACUUGUUGAAUGAAGGAACAAAGGAUAAAGUGUCACCCUGGGUAAACCUCCAUCUUAUAAUACAAACAGCUUAUGACUAUUUUAUAUUAACAGUAUUAUGGCAGUGCUUAUCUAUGCAUCUUUACUGAAUCACGGCAAAUAAUUUGGGGAUUUUAAAUAGAACUUAGAGGUUAUACCUUCUAUAAAAUAUGUUAAGAAAAAAUAUACCAAAGAUAUGUUAAAACCAUAAAGGCCUGAACAAUCACAUGUGUUAUCCUUAUCAUUUAUUUAAACAAUAUUAAAGAGUCUAAAAUUAUUAAAACUCUAACUCUAUUUAUGAUGAAAAUAGUCAUCAGUUUUUUCAUGAAAAAGUACUUAUUUUAAGGAGUCAUAUUUUAAAUAUAUGGUGGGAGGUGCCUGUAAUCCCAGCUGCUCGGGAGGCUGAGGCAGGAGAAUUGCUUGAACCCUGGAGGCGGAGGUUGCAGUGAGCCAAGAAGGCACCACUGCACUCCAGCCUGGGCAACAAGAGUGAAACUCCGUCUCAAAAAAAAAAAAAAAACCAUAUAUAUAUAUAUAAAAUAGCUUUACAAAUAAUUCACUUUUUGAUCAACAUAUGACUAAAUCUGUACAUCUAUUAAUAUAAAUAUAGUAAACAAUACAUUUUAGAAUGGUUCCAAAAUAUAAUUUACACUUUCAUAUAUUAAGAGACUCUCAAAUUUCAAUCUCAAAAGUUUUUAAAGUUUAAGUAAUGAUUUUCAUCAAAAAAAGAAAAACCUUUUUUUCCCACAAAAAUAGAAUGUUUUAUCUGCAUAGUCAAUACUAUUGCAUGGCACAAACAGUUCAAAACAUUAAAUAUUGACUCAAAAUUACCUUUAAGAAGUUUUUUCAAAUUUCUCCUUUCUGUUACUGCUUGAAAAAUAUCUAUGGUUAUACUUAAGUCUUAUGAAGACUGUAUCCAACUGAAUUAAAGAUGUCACAUUCAAUUUUCACACUCCUAGCAGAUAAUAACCAUGAGUCAUUUCUUAGAACUAGGUUUUCAGGUAAUAGGGUAGGGACAGGCUGUACCAUUUUGUACACUUCACAAUUUUAGAAAUAUUUUAUCACCAUGACAUGUGUAAGAACUUGUAAUUACUUUAUCUCCUUCAAUCUGUGUCAAGAAGAUAAUAAAUGUGCAUUUUAUACAGGGCACUAAUACUUGGAACUGUGAGUUGAAUAGCAUCUCUUGUGUCUCUAUUCACUAAUAGCUUGGGUAAAACACUUAACUGUCCUUCUAACCUAGUAUCUCCACCAGAGUAAUGGCAAUGUUAUUGGUAUCCAUAUAUAUUUAGAUAUAUCACAGAGCAAAAGGGCCAUUAUAUGAUCAAUCUUUUACAUCUUUGGUUGAUAACUGUACUCUUUUUAGAAGAACCAUUACGUUGAAAACUCCAUUUUGCUACUACGUUAGACAGGCAAUAAUUGAAGGAGACCAGGGAGUCUCUAGAAGUGAUAAAGGUCUAGCAAUAAAUAACAUGGGACUGGCCUGGUGCAG